UCUUUGAUGGUCUAACGGUCAUGAUUUCCGCUUGUCAUUAAAACGAUAAGUCCGCGGGAGACCGGGGUUCGACUCCCCGUCAGAGAG
rnacentral:tRNA from 1 species